rnacentral:RNase_P_RNA from 1 species
GAAGGCAACCGGGCAAUCGCGCGUGCAGUGCCGAAAGGCCGCAUGCGAGGAAAGUCCGAGCUCCGCAGGGCAGGGUGCUGGGUAACACCCAGUGGGAGCGAUCCUAAGGAAAGUGCCACAGAAAUGUAGACCGCCGACGGCCCGGCCGGGUGGUUCCCGGGCGGGCUCGGGCAAGGAUGCAACGGUGCGGUAAGAGCGCACCAGCGGUGCGGAGACGCAUCGGCUAGGUAAACCCCACCCGGAGCAAGACCGGAUAGGAGCGCAAUGCGGUGGCCCGCCGCGCGCUCGGGUAGGUCGCUGGAGCCGGCCGGCAACGGUCGGCCUAGAUAGAUGAUUGCCCCUCCAGAUCGGUGGGAGCGCCGCGGGCGCGCCCGAACCACCGGGAGGACAGAACUCGGCUUAUAGGUUGCCUUUCCGC